CUGGACAUGAGCGCCUGCAUGUCUGAAGAGCUCCCUGGGUAUACAGUGGAAUCUUAGUUCUCUCUCUCUCUCUCUCUCUAAGGUCUUUCUGUGUGGCCUAGGCUGAUCUUGAUCUCGCAAUCCUCCUGCCUCAGCCUCUGCAGCAAAGCGUAAAGUUCUGAUGCAUGCAGUAGUGUGCAUGAACUCUGAGACAUCAUGCCAAGAGGAACAAGCCAUACGCAAAGGACCACGUAGUGUAUGGUUCCAUUUAUAGGAAAUGCCCAAACCGAGCAAAGCCAUGGGACAGAUAGGUGUUGAGUUGGCACCUAGUUAACGUGCUGGUGGUAUAACACGUGGAGAUACACAAGCUUUCGAUGGGACUUUACACAUGUACACACAGAAAAGGAGGAGAGAAAGCAGAAUUCUGUCUUCAAUUAGCUUGGUGGACAGACAGCCUGUGUGCUCCUUUCUGAGAGAUUCAGGUUAAAACUGGAGUCAGACCAUCUGUGUUCAAAUCCCAGCUGGGCUGCUCCUCACUUUGUACUUUUCCCAGGCAAGUCACCUACCCUUGUUCCUCUCAUCUGUAAAAUGGCACAAUAUUAUUGAUCUGAUGUUGCUGUUAUUACUAUUUAUGCUUUGAUGUUGGCAUCAGUAUCAUUAUAUUGAUAUUAAUGUGAUAACUGUCCCUGCUUUACAGGCUUGUUGUAUGGCUGAAAUGUGGCAGUGCCGGGAGAGGCCUGAGGAGGGCAGGACAUGUGAGUCCAGAGCCCCAGUGUGCUACAAGAGAACAGUGCUCAGUCAUCUACAGUAUCCAACCCCCUGCUGUGGGGGCAGCUCAGGCAGAGGUCUUUAUGCCUCUUUGCAAAUGGAUCAUUGUGAUAAUGUAACUGCAGCUCUGCAGGAGAUAAACACAGAAGUUCAGACAGUACAACACAUGUCUCGGGACCCCUUGCAGAGUUUGUGGGAUUCACCGACGUCCACUAUUCUGUCUUGGACUCUUCCCUUUACAGUGCUUGUUCUCCUCUUUUCACUCCCCUGCUUAUUAUUGCCAUGCCUAAUCUGCUUCAAAGAUUUCUCACCAACAGGACUGUGGCCAUUUCAUAGGCAGUUACCAAAGACCACAUCCAUACAGCCCUCCUUCAGUCCAGCCGAGACCUCACAAUCUUGCUUCUAGUUGGCAGGAAGUAGUUCAGGAAGAAAUGUGCUGCCCAUUUUCCUUAUCUAAUAGAGUCUAGCACGAAGGAAUGCAACUGCAGCCAUCCUGAUCAGAGACCCCUCUAAACUACCCCUCCCUGCUCAGCUGCACCUGAAGACUCAACACUGUCAGCCCUGCUACUGAUAGCCGCUGCUACUCCCUGUGCUUUCCCAAGUCUUGUCCUUGGGCAACCAUUACUACUCUCUCAAGCCUCUGUGCUCUCUCAAGCCUUGUUCUUGGCAGGUACCCACAACCCCCUCUCACUGAGCUCCUCCCUCCGCAUGAGAGUUAGGGUCUGGUCUCUAGUGCCAGAGUGGUCCCCUUCAGGUUUGUUCUGCAAUAAAUCUGUCCAGUUGAGCUCGUACCUCUGUUUCUUUUCCUCCUUUUUCCCUCACAAGGGGCUCUCAGUGAAAUCCAUGUGUUUGAACUAAGACAGGGGCAGGGGAGGAGGAGAGCCGGGUGUGGAAAUCUGAGGGAAGAGAAAUAGGUACGGUAGCACGUGCAAAGGUCCUGAGGUGAGACAGAGUCUGGCAUCCUGGAGGAACAGAAAGACCCGUGUG
rnacentral:lncRNA from 1 species